rnacentral:sRNA from 2 species
GAUUCAAGUCAGCCUAAUCCAGUAUUUCACUUGGAAUUACCCAUUUGGAAAACACGGUUGGAGCGGAGGAACCAUUUUUUGGGGCAAAUCUUCUAACGUUAUCUCUGUGAAAUAAACAGAUAACAAGAGAAGGACAUCUCUCAGUCCUAGCCCGUCAGCUAACUCCGUAGGCAUUGAGAGGAGACUGA